UGUCCGUAGGUGAACCAGCGGAGGGAUCAUUACCGAGUUUACAAUUCCCAAACCCCAUGUGAACCUUACCACACGUUGCUUCGGCGGGAUGCCCCGGGCGCGGGCCGCAAGGCCUCAGCCCCGGAACCAGGCGCCCGCCGGGGGCCCCAACCAAACUCUUGUUUUUGUAGAAUCUUCUGAGUGGCCUUUUAGGCAAAAAAUGAAUCAAAACUUUCAACAACGGAUCUCUUGGUUCUG
rnacentral:misc_RNA from 1 species